UGAUCCCAAAGGCAGUGUGGCGCAACAUACAGGACCACUCAGAGGGCUGGCCAAUGAAAAACACAAGAGAGGCACAGGACAAAUGUGAUCCCAAAGGCAGUGUGGCGCAACAUACAGGACCACUCAGAGGGCUGGCCAAUGAAAAACACAAGAGAGGCACAGGACAAAUAUGAUCCCAAAGGAAGUGUGGCGCAACAUACAGGACCACUCAGAGGGCUGGCCAAUGAAAAACACAAGAGAUGCACAGGACAAAUGUGAUCCCAAAGGCAGUGUGGCGCAACAUACAGGACCACUCAGAGGGCUGGCCAAUGAAAAAGAAAACUGUAAUUAUAUACAGAGACCAAGCCAGUAAACCCAUCAAGUGUCCUCAGAUGAAAAUACAGACAGAGUUGACAAAAACAAAUAUCAGAAUCCAUCAGCUAAGCUUCCCCUGGGAGUUGGGAUUGCCUUCCAACUAAACAGGUAGACUCAUGUCAAACUUAAAAGUAACACUUACCAUGGGAAUUUUAAAAGGUUGCAAUGUUCUUGACACAAUAAUGGACUGUGAUGAUCCAGAGUCCCCAAUGAUGGCCUUCACAGGUGAGGCUCCAG